CCAUCAGUGAGAAUCGAACAAUAUAAUGAGCCGAGUAAUUCUGAAUGUCAAAGAGCUGACCUAGACUUACUUUCGAAAGUCCGACAGUAAGUUCAAGUUUGGAUGGCAGUAUAUCGGCAGAGAGUAGCCUGAUAUUACAAUGCAAAAGUCAAAUAAAAAAUUUUUCAUUCAGGAGAUCUAGUCUUAAAAAAGACAGAAGUUUUAAAGCCUUUCGACCAAAAAAAAAUAUCUCUAAACUGGGAA
rnacentral:lncRNA from 1 species